rnacentral:rRNA from 1 species
CCCUUAGAUGUUCUGGGCUGCACGCGUGCUACACUGAUAUUGCCAAUAUGUCAUUCUUAUCCGAAAUGGAUUGAGUAAUCAAGUAAUGAAAUUUCAUGCUUGGAAUCGGUAAUUGCAAUUUUAUCGUGAACGAGGAAUUCCUAGUAAGCACUAGUCAUCAGCUAAUGUUGAUUAUGUCCCUGCCCUUUGUACACACCGCCCGUCGCUACUACUGAUUGGGUGUUCAAGUGAGAUGCUUAGACCCUUGUUGCAUGGUUCAUUAUUGUGCUCCGAAAGGAAAAAGUUUCAAGCUUGAGUGUCUAGAGGAAGUAAAAGUCGUAACA